rnacentral:snoRNA from 7 species
AGCUCAGUGAUUGUAGCCAAUUACAUUGGCAAUAUACGCUAUGCUGACCUCAGUUUGAUGAACAUUUUUACUGAGAGCU